AACCACUUUCCAGUCAGACAAGUUCAAAGAAGGAAUUCAUCGACUGGCUUCUUGGGCGCUCAGACAUCAUUUCCACUUCAGUCAGGAGAGAAGGCUCGGGAAGGAUUACUCACUGGGGAGCUUCUGCCUCUUCACAAACCAUCUGAUAUCACAGGACUGGAACUUCCCCCGGUGCUCCCACUCCACAGCACCACGAGUGCCAGGAAUAGAAGACUUCCCCUCCUUUUGGGCUCAGAGUGGACCCAAUUCUUGCUCCUACUGUGAAGGACCACGAGGCCAAGAACGGAUGCUCUGCUACCAACUCGCCUGCUGUGGGAGCUGUGACUGGAAUGUAUUAUCAGGACGGUCACAAGAAAACCCUUGUGUGAAUGGAGAGGCACAAAGCAAAGAGCCCACUCGUCAUGUGUACUACUUCCCCUGGGCUCUGUCAUCACUCAGCGGCAGCCACAUUACACACAGUUGCUCCUGUACCAACUCUCCCAGGGAACGCAGGCAUCGAUCUGUCUCCUUCUCCAGAUGUGUUAUCCAAGAAGUGACUUUCGUACAGAAGAUCAGGGUUGGGUACCUCGAGAGGGCCGGAGCCCAGUUGGAGCCUUUCUGAAAUAAAGACUUCCCUGGCAUCCCGGGAACACGAAAUAAACGGAGAAGCAGAAUAACUCUCCCCUCCCAAAGCCUGACUCCACCCUGGAAAUUCAGACUGCCACCCCGAGGUGAGGGGAUCGGGAAGGAGGUUCAGAAAGGGACAAGUGGGACACGUGUUACAUGCUUUGAAGAAAUUACUUUUAUGUUUGCACAGAUCGUUCUGAUGCGUGAACACAUCUGCAUUACUGGUCACAUGGGACAGUGGGGGGGGGCCAUUUCCGGACACCUAUCAUGAACAGGAGUGAUGUAAUAAAGAUGUGGAUAAUUCAAAGAAAGGAGAAAAAGUCACUUCACUUCUCUGCAACAGUCAGCUGAGAGCCAUGUUGGGCCCUGAUGGAUCCAAGACGUCUCCUUGGUGCUUUAUUUCCGGAUGCAGGUGCAGAUGUCAACUCCAAGCUUCCGUGUUCUCAUGGAAGAAGGAAAGGACCCUUGCCAGCAUGGAGGAAAAGGAGAAGCCAGGGCAGAUUCAGAAUGAGGAUGAGAACAGGCAGCCGCGUGGGAAGGGCUCGAGCUGCAGGCCUGGGCCUUUUCCUCCAGAACAAGAGCUAGGACAGAAAUAAACCCUUGAGGAGCCUGUGGCUGGUCCCGUUGGGGGAGGUGGCAGUGAGGUAUUUGCCCAGCAUGCAAAAUUUAAGGAGAUACCCAAAACUCAGAUACCCCAAAUAAAAUCUCUUUUUGGGUAAUAGUUUUACAAAAAUUAAUAUGGAUGCAAAAAUCAACCUUAAGCAAAAAAUCAGACUUUUAAGUAAAGACAUCUAAUCCUACAGAUAGGCACCUGAACCUAACUCACCCUAUGCUACCUCAACCCUGGGAUUUGCUGUCCAUCUUGGAUAAAUCUAAAGAUACUCUUUCAUUAGUUGGAAUGGAACCACCAUUUGACUCGAUUAUCCCACUCCUUGGCAUAUACCCAAAGGACUUAAAAUCAGCAUACUAUAGUG